CAUUAUAUGCAACAGCAGUAUUUGCACUGUAAACAUUUUUUAUUUAUGCACAGUAUAUGCAACAGCAGUAUUUGCACUGUAAACCUGUUUUAUUUAUAUGAAGUGUGGGUGAACUUAAACUGUAUGGCUAUGCUGUGGUUCCUGUAGGCUUUGCGUGUGUGUGUGGGGGGGGGAGGGGGGGGGCACCUUCAUGUCCAUUUUGCUUGGGGCCCCCAAAUUCCUUCAAACGGUC